UGGGGAAUAUUGCACAAUGGAGGGAACUCUGAUGCAGCGACGCCGCGUGAACGAAGAAGGCUUUCGAGUCGUAAAGUUCUUUUAUAUGGGAAGAUAAUGACGGUACCAUAAGAAAAAGCCCCGGCUAACUACGUGCCAGCAGCCGCGGUAAUACGUAGGGGGCUAGCGUUGUCCGGAAUCACUGGGCGUAAAGGGUUCGCAGGCGGAAAUGCAAGUCAGGUGUAAAAGGCAGUAGCUUAACUACUGUAAGCAUUUGAAACUGCAUAUCUUGAGAAGAGUAGAGGUAAGUGGAAUUUUUAGUGUAGCGGUGAAAUGCGUAGAUAUUAAAAAGAAUACCGGUGGCGAAGGCGACUUACUGGGCUCAUUCUGACGCUGCUGAACGAAAGCGGGGGUAGCAAACAGG
rnacentral:rRNA from 1 species